CUGCCACAAUAUGUGUUUCCUCAACUUUCACGUCUUGCACUUCAAAUACAUUUUCUAGGGAAUCACAAUCAAUUGCUGUCAGUGACUCAAGACUUUUUGAUCUUCUGAAUGCAUUAGAAGGGAAAAUAGCCUGUAGUUUCCCACAGUGCUUAACUUUCACAGCCUUUAAUUUGCAAAAAGAAUUUUCAGUGGCUUGGUUGCUCCAAAGCAUCUUCAAGCUAUGCAAGUGGGCGAUUUUCAUUACUUUCAAGGAUGGAAGUGAAACCUUUUCACUGAAGAGAGGCUUUAUAGCAGUGUGGAGGUUAUUCCCCAUGCACGUUCCAUCUAGUUCCUUUUCAACUGUUAUGUCAGCAGUUGUAGGGCUGAAAAUGAAUUCCUUCAAUUCCGGGCAAUGUUUUAUGUACAAUUUGUUCAAGGAUGGAAAUACAGCAGAAUUUCCCCAACAGAAUCUUGUGACAUGAGGAAGAUCUUUUAGGCUUAAGAAUUCAAGUUGAGGGAAUGACAACGUCCCCAUCCAUGCCUCCCCCGAUGUAACAAAUAUGUCUUUGAUAGCAGUGCAUUUGUGAACCUCAAAACGUUUGAGUUUGAUAAGACUUACUGAAGCAGAGGAUGGUAACAGAUAACUCAAAUUAUGACAGCUCUUCACACGCAACAAUGUUAGGUUUUGGAAGCUGGAUAUUACUUGUGGGUUUCCAGCAGUACUUCUCAGAGUUUGAUCUUGCCAUAACCGUUGAGAGCCAAUUGCAAUGAGAUUCAAAAACUCCAAGUUGGAGAACUCAAUCUUGUCACUGAAAAGUGGUGUGGAAGUAUCUAGCUCAUUCUGCAAAAUUGUUUCUUCAGAACAAAGGUCUUCUGUUGGUGUUUUCUUCCUCCAUGGAGACACGGUUGCCUCUGUCACUUUGGAGCAGAAACUCGUGAGCUCGGGUAGACAUUCUAGUUCCAAGGAGUGUAAAUGCAAAAACUGAAUCUCAGCACUAGUUUCCUUGUCAUUGAUAUCCUCCUCUCCCUCCUUAGUUACAAUCUCAUGCAUGACCUUGCAAUCAGCUACUUUGAUUUCUUGAAGUUGCACAAGGUCUCUAACCAUGGAAAAUGAAAACAGGUUCUUCAACCUGUCACAGUUUUCUACCUUCACAAUUCUUAACUUAUGGAAAGACAUUGUUGUUAGCUGGCCAUGGCAUAUCAUCUCUAAGUUAAUCAAUCUGUGAAGAACCAAUGACUCUAGGAUAGGAAAAGCAGUGCAAGGAUCCCCCUCCAUUGAAUCAAUGAGAUAUUGAAUCUCAUUGCUGUUUUGAACAUGAAGAUGCUUCAAACGUGGAAAACCUUCACUGUCUAAUUCGCAAACUACAUUCCUCAGCCCCUCCAGUCCAUCCAAAUAUAGAUCUUCAGCGCUCUUCAACAGGAUGACAGCUCGCCCCUGCUGAAUGCUUGUAUCAAGCUUGAGCUUCAAGGUUCUUGAUGUUUCAUUCUCACCAGACCAAUCCCAGAUAUCACCAAUAAAUAUUCGGUAUCUUGUCAACCUUUCAAAGAGGUAGUCUUUUGGCAUAACCUUGGCAUCCGGAAUGUGUACAUCUAAAUAGACCAAGUUAGGCAGUUGCUUCAACUCAGCAAUGCUAGCAUUACCCCUUUGAGUGUUGAUUGGAUCCUCCCAUCCAACAAAGCUAUUUGCCAUAUGUAACUCUUCUAAUUGGAACAAGCUUGAAAUGACAUUGGGCGGUAUGACUUUGAGUUUCAUACAAUUGCUCAAAUCCAACAACUUUAGCCGAGUCAGUUGCCUGAUCUCCCUUGGCAACUGUGCAAUAUCAGAUCCAGCAAAGCUAAGAAUGGCUAAUUUCUUCAGCUCUCCAACUAUCGCUACAUCUCCCAGCACACAUUGAUGAAGACAUAAAGUUCGGAGGCUUCCCAGAAAACAAAGUGAUGAAGGCAGGGCAGGAAAAUGCACUUUUGCAAUGUGUAAGACUUUGAGUGCAUUCAAUCCCUUGAAAAAAUUUUCUGGAAUUUUCAGAGAAGGAUCCUCACAUCCCAUAUAAAAGAACUUAAGCUUGGGGCAGCGCAACCGAUCAGGUAGCUCUCUAAUAUCGCAAUACUGAAGAGAGAUUGCAGUGCACUUGUUCAAUGUAUCCUCAUCUGGCCAUUCCACCAACUCAACAUCAUCUCUCACUACAAAUACGUGAUUUUCCCUAGAUGCAAUUGACAUGGCAACAUCACGAACCACAUCAUGCAUACCAAAACCAUCAGUGCUAGUACCAUCUACCAACAAACAUGAAGCCUUGAGAUUGCGGACCAGUGUAUAAACUCUGUCCCGCGCUUCUUCAGUCGUAUAAACAUCUUGUAGUAAGCCCAAACCCAUGCCAUACUUCAGCAAAUCCUGGAUAGAAGCAUUAUAAUUCAUCAGACCGCAAAGCAAGAAAGUUGACUUGAGUUCCUCACUUUCUAAUUGAUGGUAACUCAAUUCUAGAGUUGAAUAUAUGACUGCCUGCAUUCCCCUCAUGUUUCUUGAGUUGGGCCUUUUUAGUUGUCGCGAGGCAUUCUUCCACUCAAAUGAAUUUUUAUUACGCAGUGCUCUUGCAACGGUUACAAUUGCAACUGGCAGACCUGCACAUUCCUUAGCUAUCUCAACUGCUGUAGAUUGCAGGUCAGGAUCUUCAACAGAAUCGCCUGCCAUCUUUUUGAAAAGAUCCCAAGCUUCCUGAUCUGUUAAUACUCCAACUGCAAAAGUUUUUUGGGCAUCCAUUUCAGUGGAUAACACAUCCAAACUUCUUGAAGCCAGCAAUAUCUUGCAUCCUUUAUGAGCAUUUCCAUAAGGAAUUCCAACUUCCUCCAAAUCAAGCCUUGCCCAAAUAUCAUCUAGAAUCACAAGGAUUUUCUUCUCCUUCUUUAACCUCUCACGCAGAUGACCUGCUCUUCCAGCGACAGACUCCUCAUCGAAUCUCAGGCCCAGCUUAUCUGCAAUUUCUCCUUGAAUUUUUUUCAAUUCUGGAUUCUGAGUAACAGUUGCCAUAACCACAUCAUCGAAUAACUUGUUUUCCAAAGCCAGCCUACCAAGCUCUUUAAGUAGUGUGGUCUUCCCCACACCUCCCAUU
rnacentral:misc_RNA from 1 species